rnacentral:rRNA from 1 species
ACAUCGCCUCUUGACCAUCAUAAGAGGUCCAGCCUGCCCGGUGACUACAAUUUAACGGCCGCGGUACCCUAACCGUGCGAAGGUAGCAUAAUCACUUGUUUCUUAAAUGGGGACUAGUAUCAAUGGCACCACGAAGACUACACUGUCUCCUCCCCAAUAUCAAUGAAACUGAUCUUCUCGUGAAGAAGCGAGAAUAUAAACAUAAGACGAGAAGACCCCAUGGAACUUUAAACAAACCUCAAUUGCUCCCCUCCUCACCAUAAAACUGAGCACUAAUGAUGGCUAGUUUUCGGUUGGGGUGACCGCGGAGUAAAACAAAACCUCCACAAUGAACGUACUAAGUACUAAUAAAAGAACCACAAUUCUAAUAAUCAAAAAUUUGACAUAAAUUGACCCAAACACUUGAUCAAUGAACUAAGCUACCCUGGGGAUAACAGCGCAAUCCAUUUUGAGAGCCCUUAUCGACAAAUGGGUUUACGACCUCGAUGUUGGAUCAGGGUAUCCUGGUGGUGCAGCCGCUACUAAUGGUUCGUUUGUUCAACGAUUAAAACCCUACGUGAU